UGUGAGAGGAAUAGACCCAGAGUCUCACACACAGUGUCAUCUUUGCAUGUAUGCAAAGCUCGAGCUAGCAAGCGACCGGGAUUCUUUUCAAGGCACUCAAACCAACUUUCCCAAGGAGGUCCCUUGGAAAUCGGGCAGGGCUGGUGUGUGAGUUAUACAAAAAGAAGAGGGGAGAUGGGAUUCAUUGAUACCAACCCUCUUCAAGAUUAGAAGUCUUUGGGGUUUUUUUAAAGCACCCACACUAGACAGAGAUGGGUUGAGGCGCUAACACCAACUCUUUCACAAGAGAAUGUGGAAGAAAAGUGAUCUAACAUCUAAGAAUCUCAGGGGAAGUCAUGUGACACCAAAGAAUCUUCUGCUUUUGCUUUGAAAUUAAUACCUUUUUCCAAGUUAUCAAAGGAUAUGCUAUGAAAGCAGCAGACAUUCUCCUCCUACAUGGAAUUCAAAAGAAAACAUACAACACCACAGAUAAGUUAUGAACUCAGACCUAUCAGAUCUGAAAUGACUGUAAGGGUUCAAAUAAGGAGGGAGGAGACCCAUCUGGAAAGUCCCUGUUUUCUAGUAUGUAAAAUCAGUUGUAUUCCCAUUUGCCCUGGUUCUCAAUAAGCCAGGAAAUUUUAAGCUUUGUGAUAAUAAAUUUAUAGCUGAAUAGUACAUUGCCUCUAGUACAAUAGUGACUUCAUAACCAC